GUGCUUACUUCGGCAGCACAUAUACUAAAAUGGGAACAACACAUAGAUGAGUGCGGCCCCUGCACAAGGAUGACACGAAAAUUCUUGAAGCCUUCCAUAUUUUU